UGCAGAAUCCCGUGAACCAUCGAGUCUUUGAACGCAAGUUGCGCCCGAAGCCAUUAGGUGGAGGGCACGCCUGCCUGGGUGUCA
rnacentral:rRNA from 1 species